rnacentral:rRNA from 1 species
CCGCAAUGGACGAAAGUCUGACGGAGCAACGCCGCGUGAGUGAUGACGGCCUUCGGGUUGUAAAGCUCUGUUAAUCGGGACGAAAGGCCUUCUUGCGAAUAGUUAGAAGGAUUGACGGUACCGGAAUAGAAAGCCACGGCUAACUACGUGCCAGCAGCCGCGGUAAUACGUAGGUGGCAAGCGUUGUCCGGAAUUAUUGGGCGUAAAGCGCGCGCAGGCGGAUAGGUCAGUCUGUCUUAAAAGUUCGGGGCUUAACCCCGUGAUGGGAUGGAAACUGCCAAUCUAGAGUAUCGGAGAGGAAAGUGGAAUUCCUAGUGUAGCGGUGAAAUGCGUAGAUAUUAGGAAGAACACCAGUGGCGAAGGCGACUUUCUGGACGAAAACUGACGCUGAGGCGCGAAAGCCAGGGGAGCGAACGGGAUUAGAUACCCCGGUAGUCCUGGCCGUAAACGAUGGGUACUAGGUGUAGGAGGUAUCGACCCCUUCUGUGCCGGAGUUAACGCAAUAAGUACCCGCCUGGGGAGUACGACCGCAAGGUUGAAACUCAAAGGAAUUGACGGGGGCCCGCACAAGCGGUGGAGUAUGUGGUUUAAUUCGACGCAACGCGA